UACAGAGGGGGCAAGCGUUGUUCGGAAUUACUGGGCGUAAAGGGCGCGUAGGUGGCCUUCUAAGUCGAACGUGAAAUCCCUGGGCUCAACCCAGGAACUGCGUCCGAGACUGGGAGGCUUGAAUCCGGGAGAGGGAUGUGGAAUUCCAGGUGUAGCGGUGAAAUGCGUAGAUAUCUGGAGGAACAUCGGUGGCGAAGGCGGCAUCCUGGACCGGUAUUGACGCUGAGGCGCGAAAGCCAGGGGAGCAAACGGG
rnacentral:rRNA from 1 species